GUACAACAGCCUGCCAACAGUCCGGAUUUGAAUGUGCUUGACCUUGGGUUUUUCAACUCGCUACAAUCUCUGACAGAUUGUUUGAGUCCUAAAACACUACAAGACCUUAUUGCUGGUGUUUUGGAGGAAUUUGAAGGCUACGAUGUUUACAAGCUCAACCGAAUUUUCCUAACUCUACAAAUGUGCAUGACCGAGAUCUUGAACCAUGCAGGGAAUGGGUAUAAAAUACAACAUGUUAACAAGGAAAGGCUUGAGGGUCAUGGGCAGCUACCUCCAAGACUAACAUGCCCUAAAGAGGUUUACGCAAAUGCCCUAUACAACUUAGAGCUAAUGGAGAGGGUUCAGUGA
rnacentral:rRNA from 1 species